rnacentral:tRNA from 1 species
AGUUAGCUCAAUGGUAGAGCACUCGUCUGGCAUUUCUGAAGCCCUGGGUUCAAUCCCCAGAACUG